rnacentral:lncRNA from 1 species
GAAAUACUGAAUUUAUGUCCAUUAGAAAACUUUGGACAAUAUUUUGUGAGGUGGCAUGCAUGGUUCUAUGCAGAAAAUCUUCCUGGAUUAGCAGUCGUUAAUAUAAGAGACUAAGAAUGUUUGUAGUUAUGUACUUUGAGGCAGUUCCCAGUUACUGACAGAAUCAAAAAUGUCGUAGAUUAUUUUUUUGUUGUGUAUACUUUGGUCAGAGGGUACGCGUAUUUAGGGGAAGCAUAGUGCCCGGCCGCCCCCUAAGUGUGAAAAAUUUGGUUGAUUAUAUAGGGAAUCACUGAAAUAUGUUUAAAGCGGGUCCCCUCUUAGGCAGUCAGUGCCCCCCUCCCCC